rnacentral:lncRNA from 1 species
AAUAGUUAAAUCUACAGAACUUUUUUUCUUUCAUACAGUACAUCCUGACCGCAGCCUCUGCCCCUCCCCAUAACCCACAGGCGUCUCCCCUCUGCCCCAGAUCCACUGCUCUUCCGUUUCCCUUCAGAAGAGCAGACAGUGAUGAGCGGAAGGUCUGGAAUCCCAGAGAUAGCAACCAGACAUGGAGCAAGAAGACACAGUAACUUCUUAUAGGUGAAAGAGGCACCAGUUUCACGUAUAACUCACCUUUGCAUUCUGUUUCUGUGGAGGAUUACAGCUCAACAUGAGUUCAAGGCCAUAUCCUUGAGUUUCUCCAAUUGUGUGUGUGUGUGUGUGUGUGUGUGUGUGUGUGUGUGUGUGUGUGUGUCUGUGUGUGUGUUGCACUGUGCCCUCGAAGUUUAUUCAGCCUUCCAUCGCAUAGUGAGUCUGAUGACCUACUAAUUGCAAAGCAACCUGAGAUCUCGGUCUCCUUGUUCCCCCCAUUGUAGGAGGAAUAGCCAGCAAGCAGUAGGAAGUCACCAGCAGUAGCUGUGUCCAGUUAGCCCAUGUGCAGACACGAGAAUUUGAGUACCCAUUUCUCCUUGUUACAAGAGCAUAGAGAGCUGCUUCCCAAAUCAAGGAACGCUAUCAUCUGCCACUACCUAGAGAAAGGCCUUCCAAAUCUCCAGUCUAGGAACUGAGUAACCUGGCGAUAAUGUCAUGCCUCACCUCUGACAAAACGACUGAUGAGAAAAGGAGUGAAGAAUUUGGGCCUUAUUCCUUGAUGCUCAAAGGCAUCAAGUUAUUCCACCCCAGGCUGAGCAG